rnacentral:rRNA from 1 species
AAGGAAUAUUGGUCAAUGGGCGCAAGCCUGAACCAGCCAUCCCGCGUGCAGGAUGAAGGUCCUAUGGAUUGUAAACUGCUUUUAUCAGGGAAGAAACGCCUUCAUUUAUGAGGGUCUGACGGUACCUGAGGAAUAAGCACCGGCUAACUCCGUGCCAGCAGCCGCGGUAAUACGGAGGGUGCGAGCGUUAUCCGGAAUCACUGGGUUUAAAGGGUGCGUAGGCGGGGAAUUAAGUCAGUGGUGAAAGCCUGUCGCUUAACGAUAGAAUUGCCAUUGAUACUGAUUUUCUUGAAUUGGGUUGAGGUUAGCGGAAUGUGACAUGUAGCGGUGAAAUGCAUAGAUAUGUCAUGGAACACCAAUUGCGAAGGCAGCUAACUGGGCCUUGAUUGACGCUGAGGCACGAAAGCGUGGGUAGCGAAC